GAUGAACGCUGGCGGCGUGCUUAACACAUGCAAGUCGAACGAAGCACUUUACCUGAUUUCCUUCGGGGAUGAUUGUUCUGUGACUGAGUGGCGGACGGGUGAGUAACGCGUGGAUAACCUGCCUCACACAGGGGGAUAACAGUUGGAAACGGCUGCUAAUACCGCAUAAGCGCACAGCACCGCAUGGUGCAGUGUGAAAAACUCCGGUGGUGUGAGAUGGAUCCGCGUCUGAUUAGCUAGUUGGCGGGGUAACGGCCCACCAAGGCGACGAUCAGUAGCCGGCCUGAGAGAGCGACCGGCCACAUUGGGACUGAGACACGGCCCAGACUCCUACGGGAGGCAGCAGUGGGGAAUAUUGCACAAUGGGGGAAACCCUGAUGCAGCGACGCCGCGUGAGCGAUGAAGUAUUUCGGUAUGUAAAGCUCUAUCAGCAGGGAAGAUAAUGACGGUAC
rnacentral:rRNA from 1 species